rnacentral:rRNA from 1 species
GUGGGGGAUAUUGCACAAUGGGGGAAACCCUGAUGCAGCGACGCCGCGUGAAGGAAGACGUACUUCGGUAUGUAAACUUCUAUCAGCAGGGAAGAAGAUGACGGUACCUGACUAAGAAGCCCCGGCUAACUACGUGCCAGCAGCCGAGGUAAUACGUAGGGGGCAAGCGUUAUCCGGAUUUACUGGGUGUAAAGGGAGCGUAGACGGUGAAGCAAGUCUGAUGUGAAAACCCGGGGCUCAACUACGGGAUUGCAUUGGAAACUGUUUUACUUGAGUGCUGGAGGGGCAAGCGGAAUUCCUGGUGUAGCGGUGAAAUGCGUAGAUAUCAGGAAGAACACCGGUGGCGAAGGCGGCUUGCUGGACAGUAACUGACGUUGAGGCUCGAAAGCGUGGGGAGCAAACAGGAUUAGAUACCCGAGUAGUCC